rnacentral:rRNA from 1 species
CCUACGGGAGGCAGCAGUGAGGAAUCUUGGUCAAUGGACGAGAGUCUGAACCAGCCAAGUAGCGUGAAGGAUGACUGCCCUAUGGGUUGUAAACUUCUUUUAUAUGGGAAUAAAACGUUCCACGUGUGGGAUUUUGUAUGUACCAUAUGAAUAAGGAUCGGCUAACUCCGUGCCAGCAGCCGCGGUAAUACGGAGGAUCCGAGCGUUAUCCGGAUUUAUUGGGUUUAAAGGGAGCGUAGGUGGAUUGUUAAGUCAGUUGUGAAAGUUUGCGGCUCAACCGUAAAAUUGCAGUUGAAACUGGCAGUCUUGAGUACAGUAGAGGUGGGCGGAAUUCGUGGUGUAGCGGUGAAAUGCUUAGAUAUCACGAAGAACUCCGAUUGCGAAGGCAGUUCACUGGACUGCAACUGACACUGAGGCUCGAAAGUGUGGGUAUCAAACAGGAUUAGAUACCCUUGUAGUC